rnacentral:lncRNA from 1 species
GGGGUCUAGUAAUUUAUACAGCCAAGACAUUUUUACACUAUAACAAAAAUAGUAAAUAUUAGGCAUCUUAAGACCGCCAUCACAGUGUUCGGACAUAACCACUGUUCUUUUCACUUUAUCUGGUUUUCCUUUCCAUAAAAAAUUGAAAAAUAUAUUUUGAAUCUCCUUCAAAACCCCAUCUGGGGGGUUAGGAAGGACAGUCAGAACUUGAACCAAAAUGGGAAGUGCUAAAGUUUUAAUAACAACCACC